GUGAACUUGUGGUGGGCAUUGUUUCUUGGACUGUGGAGCACAUGGAUCCUUAGUUUGGGGUAUAAACGACAGGGGGUUGCUGACAGGUUUGCUUCACUUGCUGCUGCUGGGCUUUCUGGGGCAGGUGCUCUCUCCACUGCUGCUGCAGGAACAGGGGAGCCUAAAAGAAACCUAGGCAGUGGACACCAUGAGAAGUGUUCCCUCCACCAUCCCUACCUUCUGACUUCUAAAGCAAUGUUUCCUUACAAUGGCCAAGGACAUGAUAAGUGAUUAAUUGCCUCUAAUUGGUCAGUGAAUUGACUCACAUGCACCCAUUGUGAUCCUCUCCCUUUCAUUCUUCUUCUAUGCUAUUCUGACUUCAUUUCCUGUCUUCCUUCAUCCUCCCAUAGACUCCUGAUUUAACUGAAUAUAUAAUUGAUUUCUCAGUCUGCCCAGGAAACAAGAUGAAAUGCUGAGUUGAGGAUAAAAAGAUAGCGCAAACAUUUUAUAAGAUUGAGGCAUGAAGUCUUGGUUGAUGGGUGUGCAAUGUCAACUGGCUGCCUUGAGUAGUGCAGACAAAUAGGACAGGAGCUUGCCUAGUGGCUGGAGACAGUUUGAGAAGGAGUAAGGGCCCAGCAGGUCCCAGUAGGAAGAAUCCAAUCCCACUUACCAGAAGUGCAAGCAGGACCUCAGGAGAGGAGGCUGGGCACAGGAAGCUUUCCCUUGAGCACGAAGGACAAGAAUACAAAUGGUCACCCACAGGCUCACUGCCCCUGACCUGCCCCACCUCCCAGGAAUCGGCUGCUGGGCCAACCAGGAAACCAGGCUCUGCAUCUUGCCUCCCUAGGGAACAGACACCUGAGAGCAGGAGUUCAUUGUGA
rnacentral:lncRNA from 1 species